GAUGAACGCUGGCGGCGUGCCUAAUACAUGCGAGUCGAGCGAACAGACGAGGAGCUUGCUCCUCUGACGUUAGCGGCGGACGGGUGAGUAACACGUGGAUAACCUACCUAUAAGACUGGGAUAACUUCGGGAAACCGGAGCUAAUACCGGAUAAUAUAUUGAACCGCAUGGUUCAAUAGUGAAAGACGGUUUUGCUGUCACUUAUAGAUGGAUCCGCGCCGCAUUAGCUAGUUGGUAAGGUAACGGCUUACCAAGGCAACGAUGCGUAGCCGACCUGAGAGGGUGAUCGGCCACACUGGAACUGAGACACGGUCCAGACUCCUACGGGAGGCAGCAGUAGGGAAUCUUCCGCAAUGGGCGAAAGCCUGACGGAGCAACGCCGCGUGAGUGAUGAAGGUCUUCGGAUCGUAAAACUCUGUUAUUAGGGAAGAACAAAUGUGUAAGUAACUUUGCACGUCUUGACGGUACCUAAUCAGAAAGCCACGGCUAACUACGUG
rnacentral:rRNA from 1 species